CUUUCAUAUUCUAGGAGGACGCACGGCUCUGCUGCAGUCACUGCUCAUUUUCUUGUUCAUGUUCCUCUUUUUCUUUUUUUUUUUAGUUCUUUUAUUGGUACAUUUUAGGAACACAGCACAGGAGUAGCUGAUGGAAAUCUUGGAAAAGCAGAAUUUCUGGAAACCCAGAGUCUCCCUGGACCAGCCAACAAGAUUCCAUGCCCUCUGCCAUGACCCUCCCUAAUCCAUUUUGCUCAAUUUCCUUUGGGUCCUUUUUUAUGGCCACAAGUUGUCUUAGGACUGCUCUUCUUGCCUUAGACUGUUUCUGGUCAUUUUCCCCAAACUUCUUGUUUGCUCGGGGCUUGGUCCUUCCCAAGCUCAAGGUUACCUUCCGUCUCCCAACGUGCCUCCUCUGUGCCAUGAAUAUGGAGAAACAAGCUCUGUUGGGACCCCACUCACCCUCAUCCAGUGCAUUUCAUUCACCCUUUCAGUGCCUCACUCCCGCCAUGGCUCCCCGGAGCAAUGACAUCCACUCCUGAAGAAUCCGUGGCCCACUUAGGAGGCAGAGUGUCCAGUCUUGUCUGCCCAGGCACCCUGUGCAACCACCUACUCCUGGGCCUGGCCCUUUCCCAUUUUGUUUCUUUUCAUUUUUCUCUUCCCAGGCUAGAGGAUUUUUUUCCCCUCCCAGAAUAACUAAAUUCCUUUGGCUUCUUGUUUGUGGAAGGUAUUCUUGCUGUUAUCACAGAUCUUCUCUCCUUUACUUUUUCCUUUAUGGGAUUAAUAUCCUUUAAGGAUUCAGGCUUUUGAGGAAAAUAAAAACCAAGGAAAAUGUUAGGCUAUUUCUGCUUUACUCCCAGUCACACCCUACUCUUGUUUAAGUUGGGGCCGGGGGGUGCCGUGCAGAAGGUGAACUGUGAGGAAAAGAAAAAAAACUGAAGGAGAAAAAAUUGUCAUACCGUGCAAUACUAUACAGCCAGCUGCACUCAUAAUGGGCAGUCAAAUUCUGCGGUCUAUUCAAAGUUAUUUCCUAUAGUCCUUCCUAAUCGGCCUUGAGAUAGGGGAGGAAAAGAAGACGGG
ensembl:lncRNA